rnacentral:rRNA from 1 species
AUAUACGACUAUAGGGUAUAGAGAAUAGGGCUUCCCGUCCGCUUAGCCGUACUUAAGCUAUACGCCGGUAGGUUAAUAGUUAGGUAGGUAACUACCAGUGAAUCUCUACUGUUAUAUGUU